GAAACCACACUUAUAUAUAUAAAGGGGUGACAAAAUAGAUUUAGUUAGUUCAGUUUAGAUUUCAAUCGAUAGAGAAAUAACAAUGCGUUUCGAAGUCCUACUUGUUUUUAUGCUACACUUUCUUCUAAGCCAUGCAUCUAAGAAACAAGAGGAUAUUUUCUGGCCUUCGCGGGGAUAGAACCAUCUUUACGGGUAAAAGACAGAAUCCAAGGAAUGGAAAGUUACGAAGCUUUUUACAUUCAUAAUUCAAUGAAAAUAUAAUUUCAUUUUGACCCAAC